rnacentral:rRNA from 1 species
UACGGAGGGUGCAAGCGUUAUCCGGAUUCACUGGGUUUAAAGGGUGCGUAGGUGGGCAGGUAAGUCAGUGGUGAAAUCUCCGGGCUUAACUCGGAAACUGCCAUUGAUACUAUCUUUCUUGAAUACCGUGGAGGUCAGCGGAAUAUGUCAUGUAGCGGUGAAAUGCUUAGAUAUGACAUAGAACACCAAUUGCGAAGGCAGCUGGCUACA